rnacentral:rRNA from 1 species
UGAGGAAUAUUGCGCAAUGGGGGAAACCCUGACGCAGCCACGCCGCGUGGAGGAUGACACCCCUAUGGGGCGUAAACUCCUUUUAUAUGAGAAGAAAACCCGAUUCUGUCGGGCCUGACGGUAUCAUAUGAAUAAGCACCGGCUAACUCCGUGCCAGCAGCCGCGGUAAUACGGAGGGUGCAAGCGUUGUCCGGAAUCACUGGGUGUAAAGGGUGUGUAGGCGGGACAGCAAGUCAGAGGUGAAAUCCCACGGCUUAACCGUGGAACUGCCUUUGAGACUGCUGUUCUUGAGUCUCGGAGAGGUCACCAGAAUUCGUGGUGUAGCGGUGAAAUGCGUAGAUAUCACGAGGAAUACCUGUGGCGUAGGCAGGUGACUGGACGAGUACUGACGCUGAGGCACGAAAGCGUGGGGAGCAAACAGGAUUAGAUACCCCCGUAGUCC